rnacentral:pre_miRNA from 1 species
AGGCAGUGCACUUGCUAGCUGGCUGUUGUGUUCUGGAAACUUACAGUUGUUAGCUGCACUCCACA